rnacentral:rRNA from 1 species
CAAGUCGAGCGAGGCGGCCCGCAAGGGCUAGUCGAGCGGCGAACGGGUGAGUAACGCGUGGAUAACCUGCCCUGAGGUGGGGGAUAACCAGGGGAAACUCUGGCUAAUACCGCAUGAUACCGAGAGGUCAAAGGGGGCUCGCAAGGGCUCUCGCCAUAGGAGGGGUCCGCGUCCGAUUAGCUAGUUGGUAGGGUAACGGCCUACCAAGGCGACGAUCGGUAGCCGGCCUGAGAGGGUGAUCGGCCACACUGGAACUGAGACACGGUCCAGACUCCUACGGGAGGCAGCAGUGGGGAAUUUUGCGCAAUGGGCUAACGCCUGACGCAGCAACGCCGCGUGGAGGAUGAAGGUCCUUGGAUUGUAAACUCCUGUCAGCAGGGAAAAAGCGAAUCGGUCUAAUACACCGGUGAGUUGAUUGUACCUGCAGAGGAAGCCCCGGCUAACUCUGUGCCAGCAGCCGCGGUAAUACAGAGGGGGCAAGCGUUAUUCGGAAUUAUUGGGCGUAAAGGGCGCGUAGGCGGCUUGGCAAGUGGAAGGUGAAAUCCCUCGGCUUAACCGAGGAACUGCCCUCCAAACUGCUUCGCUUGAGACCGGGAGAGGUGAGUGGAAUUCCCAGUGUAGCGGUGAAAUGCGUAGAUAUUGGGAGGAACACCAGUGGCGAAGGCGGCUCACUGGACCGGUACUGACGCUGAUGCGCGAAAGCGUGGGGAGCAAACGGGAUUAGAUACCCCGGUAGUCCACGCCGUAAACGAUGAGUGCUUGGUGUAGCGGGUAUCGACCCCUGCUGUGCCGAAGUCAACACAUUAAGCACUCCGCCUGGGGAGUACGGUCGCAAGGCUGAAACUCAAAGGAAUU